UACGUAGGAGGCGAGCGUUGUCCGGAUUUACUGGGCGUAAAGAGCGCGCAGGCGGCACGCUAAGUACACCGUGAAAUCUCCCUGCUCAACGGGGAGGGAGCGACGUAGACUGGCGAGCUAGAGGACGGUAGAGGGGGGUAGAAUUGCUGGUGUAGCGGUGAAAUGCGUAGAGAUCAGCAGGAAUACCCGUGGCGAAGGCGGCCCCCUGGGCCGAACCUGACGCUGAGGCGCGAAGGCUAGGGGAGCGAACGGG
rnacentral:rRNA from 1 species